rnacentral:lncRNA from 1 species
UGGACUUUUGGGUUAAGUUCUGGAGACCAGAAGGCCAAAAUCAAAAGUAUGGGCAGGCUUGAUUUCUUUAGAAGACUCCAGCGGAGAACUGUGUCUCCUUGCUUCUGGGCACCGAGGAAGAGAACCAAUGGCAGAGGCCACAUGUGCAAGCAAGAUGGGAGUCUGGAGAGCCUCAGGCUAAAUCACGAGUGCUCAGCCCUCUCCUCUUUUUGGAAAACUUUAAUAUGAGAUUGAAGAUAUGAUUUGCUUUCUGGAUUGUUGUAUGCUACUAAAACCGAAGAAAGAGAAGGAAAAAUGGAUGAAUCGACGGACCAUAUCACCCUGGCACCUAUAUCAGCUCAAAAACUGAAGGAAAUACCCCUUUCCUGCCCUCUCUUUGACUAAUGCUAUAGACUCUGAGUCAGUAGUUCCUGGUGGGACCUGAGAGUCCACAUUCCUGAUGAGCUCCAGGUGUUCCCAUGCUGCUGCCCCUCUGACCACACUUAGAAUAAGAAGGCUUGAAAUGAAAUCUGAGAAAUCAGCCUCUUGAUUCCAAUUUUAAACAUGCAAUUGAUUCUUGUAAUUUUUCAUUCUUGUCAAAAUGCAUACCAGUAAGUUUGUAAUCAGUAUUGGCAUGCUUAAAAGAAUUUAAGACUUGUUAUAUUUGUCAUUUUAAUUUAUUUAAACUUUAAAGAUUUGUUCAGAACUUGGAAAGAUUUUGCUUAAGCUCAUAAAUUUACCCACUCAGGCAUAUGAGAUAGGGUACUUUGAUUUAUAAAUGAAGUUUAAAAUUAAGGGAAUUUAAUUAAGUUUUCAAAAUGAGAUUGGUUGUUUUAAGGGGAAUUUACUUUGUGUAACUUGAGUUCAUCAAACGCUAAUCCAAGUUCCCUGCAAAACCUGUUCUGUUUUAUAUAACAUUUACUCGUUUUAGAAAUAGAUGAGAUUUGCAAAUUGAACCUAAAGACUUAAGGCAAAUUAUGUAUCUUUUUAUACUUUAAUAAAGAAAAAUAAAAUAAAUUUGAAACACAAAUAACUCUAACUGGCCCUUUUUAUGUAAAAAGAAGUCCUUGAAUAAAAUUUACCUUGACAGCACUAGCAA